rnacentral:rRNA from 1 species
AUUGAACGCUGGCGGCAGGCCUAACACAUGCAAGUCGAGCGGAUGAGAGGAGCUUGCUUCUUGAUUCAGCGGCGGACGGGUGAGUAAUGCCUAGGAAUCUGCCUGGUAGUGGGGGACAACGUUUCGAAAGGAACGCUAAUACCGCAUACGUCCUACGGGAGAAAGCAGGGGACCUUCGGGCCUUGCGCUAUCAGAUGAGCCUAGGUCGGAUUAGCUAGUUGGUGAGGUAAUGGCUCACCAAGGCGACGAUCCGUAACUGGUCUGAGAGGAUGAUCAGUCACACUGGAACUGAGACACGGUCCAGACUCCUACGGGAGGCAGCAGUGGGGAAUAUUGGACAAUGGGCGAAAGCCUGAUCCAGCCAUGCCGCGUGUGUGAAGAAGGUCUUCGGAUUGUAAAGCACUUUAAGUUGGGAGGAAGGGUUGUACGUUAAUACCGUGCAAUUUUGACGUUACCGACAGAAUAAGCACCGGCUAACUCUGUGCCAGCCGCCGCAGUAA